AUCGCUUCUCGGCCUUUUGGCUAAGAUCAAGUGUAGUAUAUUUUAUUAAAUAUUCAAAACAAAACAAGAAGACAAUGGAAGGGGGGAAUGGGGCAAACAAAAGUACAUUUAACACAACAUUUGUAAUUAUUUCUGCUUAUACAGUUACAUUGUUUCCAUUAUCAUCAAUGAAAUCAUACCACAU